rnacentral:rRNA from 1 species
UCGUAGCGGCUUGUCCGUCGGAUGUGAAGCCCGGGGCUUAACCCCGGGUCUGCAUUCGAUACGGGCUAGCUAGAGUGUGGUAGGGGAGAUCGGAAUUCCUGGUGUAGCGGUGAAAUGCGCAGAUAUCAGGAGGAACACCGGUGGCGAAGGCGGAUCUCUGGGCCAUUACUGACGCUGAGGAGCGAAAGCGUGGGGAGCGAACAGGAUUAGAUACCCUGGUAGUCCACGCCGUAAACGGUGGGAACUAGGUGUUGGCGACAUUCCACGUCGUCGGUGCCGCAGCUAACGCAUUAAGUUCCCCGCCUGGGGAGUACGGCCGCAAGGCUAAAACUCAAAGGAAUUGACGGGGGCCCGCACAAGCAGCGGAGCAUGUGGCUUA